rnacentral:misc_RNA from 1 species
AAGUCGUAACAAGGUUUCCGUAGGUGAACCUGCGGAAGGAUCAUUAACAAAUCUACAACAAACACCCUGUGUAAACGUUGGUGUCCCUUGGUGUGUGUGCUUGUCGCGCAUGUCAAGGGAUACUAUCACAUUGAGAUGAUUAUUGAUGGACAGCCUAGAUACAGCGUUAAUGAAAACAACUUUUAACAAUGGUUCUCUUGGCUCUU